rnacentral:rRNA from 1 species
AGAACGAACGCUGGCGGCAGGCCUCAAACAUGCAAGUCUAGGGGGGUGUAGCAAUACAUCACCGGCGGACGGGUGCGUAACGCGUGGGAAUGUACCUAUUGGUUCGGAACAACUGAGGGAAACUUCAGCUAAUACCGGAUGAGCCCGCAAGGGGAAAGAUUUCUCGCCAAUAGAUCAGCCCGCGUCCGAUUAGCUAGUUGGUGGGGUUAAAAGCCUACCAAGGCGACGAUCGGUAGCUGUUCUGAGAGGAAGAUCAGCCACACUGGGACUGAGACACGGCCCAGACUCCUACGGGAGGCAGCAGUUGGGAAUCUUGGACAAUGGGGGAAACCCUGAUCCAGCCAUGCCGCGUGAGUGAUGAAGGCCUUCGGGUUGUAAAACUCUUUCGACGGGACGAUAAUGACGGUACCCGUAGAAGAAGCUCCGGCUAACUUCGUGCCAGCAGCCGC